GAGGAAAAAGACGGUUACUGUUAAUGUAAUGCACCUGAAAAGAAAGUGAACUCGAACACAUAUACAAGUAAUUAGUGGUGAUAGUUCUGUUUGUUUGAGUGAAAAACUCAUCCGUCACGACAGACAUAAGUUUAAGUUAGCCGCUGUCGCUGAUUUAGUGGUUAGUGUUUUGCAUAGACUUUGCUGAUAAGCUAGCGGCCAGCGACCUUAAUUGAAACCGGAGAUGAUCAAAGACUUUCCCGCAGCCGGAUAGCGUUGUCGAGUGAUGGACUUUGCUGAGAUCGUCAACCGUGUGAACCUUCUCUUGAUCCGUCUUCUCAUCAUCACGAAUCCUCUCCUCCUGUCUUUUGCUGCUGACGUCGUUGAUCAGAAGCACUGUCUGAGGACAGAACAAGCUCAACAGCUACAAUGUUUUAAAAGCAGUUUCCAGAAUCUGAGUCCAGCUCCUGGACCCCUGCCAACAUCGUCUGUGUCUUACGACCACACAAACAGAAGAAACUACUGUGACUCAAUACUGCCCCCUGUUGUCCAUAAGGCACUUCAUCCACCAGGGAGUGGAGGUUUAUUGGUUCAUCGAUGGCAGCGAGAUGCCUUUGGCGCUCGAGCAGGCCUCUGUUGGGCAGACUGACACCCCAACGGGCUGCAAUUACCCCACAGCAAAACCUAUUGUCUGUGUGUCACCCCCUGAUGAGCGCACACUGUGAAUAGAGAAUGCUGGCGGAUACACUAACAGAAUCAUUUUGCGUCCGUUUAAAAGGAGAACGGGAAAAAGAGAGAGUGAAAAAGUAUCAGUGGAGAAAUUAGUGUUGCUAAAACAGCGGUUCAGGAGACUUCAGUCACAUGGAAGAAAGCUGUGAUUAGUCCAAUCUGUCAUUAGUGUCUCACUGACGGAGACAUUAGCCUUGACAGAGGAGUAAAACGUAGCUCGGUGAGAUCUUUACGCCAAAACGUCACCCUUCAUCACUGAUUCAGAACUAGCGUAUGUAGCUCCAGAGCAAUGCAUUAAGGAAUGUCCUUAACAUUUUAAUUUCGUCAUUUACUCAAUCUCAUGUUGUUCGGAGUCGAUGCGACUUGCUUUCUUCCGUGAAACAACAACAAAAAAGGAGAUA